AUGCCUUGACAGGCACGCUCCUAUCCAGCCACAGAACUUGUUACAGUUUUGUGACAGCAAAGAUUCCAGUUGGUACCUUCGGAGGAGACCAAAAUCCCCCCUCCCCAACCAGGACAGGAAGGAAACCCGGGAAGAGGGUUACCCAGAUGAACCCACUGACAGCCAGCUGGAGGGGAUUCACCCACCCCCAACCCCCGCGUCCCAGCCCCAGGGCAAGCAACCUCUGGGGUAUUUUGUAGCGAAUGAAUAGGAUAAAAGCUCGUGGGGCUGAAAGUUUGGGGCUAGCUACGGACCCGCCAAUUGGGUUUUCCUGCUGGGAGAAUCAGGAUCGCUGAGGCUUUCAAGGAGCUGACGGCUGCAAACGUGAGGUGUGCGGCUGCAGCCCCCACUGCAAAAUCCGUAGUACACGAGACAAGAAAAGCAUGGCACACAUACGUACAUGAACACAUAUACACGCCGCCGAGUAGAAGGAGAGAGAAAAACUACAAUCCACCAAUACGAAUACAAGUGCUAAACCCAGGGUCUAUUCCAAUCGCGACGACUGCUAAAGGGAAAUUCUUUUUUGCAGGGGUAGGGAGAACUCAGACCCACAAAAACUUUAAUGCCAAGAACUGAAAAGCAAAUCAGAGCAAUAAAACACAAAUCAAGGGAAAUUUGAAAACAAAAACGAGUAGCGAUGGGGUGCCGGGGCUGGGGGGGUGGGGUGGGGCAGAAGAGGAAUGAACACUACGGGCGGCUCAGAUAAGAAUCCAAGUGUGAGACUACUACCGUCGGGGCUGUCUGUCAACAAACCCAGAGGGAGGUGAGGGUACAAUUGAACUAAAAUGGAUAGUGGUAGCCUCAAAGAAGUCCUGGAGCCUGAGGGAUUUGUGGAGAAGAGGAAAGACACUACAAUGAUUCUCAGAGGAGAAGAUGAAUGGGUCUUUGGUUUUCCAUGGGAUAUGGACCUUGAUGGAGUUGGUCAGAUAUUCCAGAGUCAAGAGAGGAUCCCAUGAGCCAAAUCCAAACUUUACAGUAUUUUCCAUGGAGUUCGGGGCUGGGGCAUGAAGAACCAGUCAAUGAAAAGAAGAUGCUGGAUCCUUGUCCUUAGAGACCAGUUUCUCCCAGAAUUGGACCUGGAUCUGCUAAACCCAGAACUGGUGCUCCUUAUUGGGGUGGCAACCCUCCAAAUCAGCAUGCCUUUUACAUAUAAAGGACAGUACUAACAUACCAAUUUCUUAUACCUAGAAUAGCCUGAUGCAGGAGGAAAAUUAAUAAAUAUUUUUGUAGUAAUGACAUGUACUAAACAGAAAAUGCCAGUGAUGAUAGUGGUGUUCAUUAUUGUCUCUCUAUUGAUCACAGUUUUAAUCUUUAAGUCUCAUUUGAAAGAUGAAAGAUGUGUAGACAGAGUCCCUAAACAACAUAUUUGGCCCAAUAUUAACACAAAAGGAAGAAAUCUAAUAAUCUCCUUUUCAGUAGCAUUACAAAAAAACUAAGACAAGUACUUAAAACAGAGCCCAAAUUUCACUAAUCCUUUCAAUCAGAUAUGAGUUUACUUUAAACUUACCCUAAAUUUGGAUGGAUAAAUUCUAAUACAGUGUUAAAAUGGUUUUCCAAAAAUCAUUGUAAUGCAACAAUCAUAUAGUUUGAAAAAUAUUCAUUAAUUCUUUUUACAUUUACUAAUGCCACCUCCUUCUAGUCAUACUUACUUUGUCUUUCAUACUGAUUCUCUUCUUUUCCCCUCCUUGACCUACACCAAGCAUAUUACAUGAGAAAUGAGUGAACUAGAAUAGCUGGUGGGUUCCUUUUGGCCAACUUCCCAAUUAAUAUAGGUCACUGUGAGUUUGAUAAAGCCAUACUCCUAGGCUAAGAUUGCAUUUGGACAGAGAUCUAAGCCCUCCAUCUAACAUAUGGUUAGACAUUCCCAAGAUCUUCUCUGACUUAGCAUGCAAAUAAAUUUGAGCCAAAAGAAAAAGUAAACAAACACAAGGAGAGAUUGUUUUCUCCAUCCGCUUCACCAACAUUCAUGCUUUAAUUGUGCAUAUCUGCUAGUAGCAAAAUCUCAUUGCUUUGGUAUAAUAUUUUGGCCAUUGAAAACCACAUUAUAUUUCUCACAUUUAAAAAGGGGUUAGAAUAGAGGAACUCUGAAGUCUGUGAACCUGAGAUAGCUGUCUUCAAGCAUGUGGAGGGCUGUCGUCAUAUGGAAGAGAGAUUAGACUCAUUCUGUUUUACCCCAGAGAGCCAAAUUCGAAGGAACAGGUGGAAACUUCAAAGAGGCAGAUUUUAGCUUGAUAUACUGAAAAACUUAACCCAUUAAUUUUUAAGAGCUGCCCAAAGCAGAAUGGGAUGCCUUAUAAAGUGGUGACGCCAUUAUAACUGGAAGGCAGUUAGAUACUAGAUGACCACUUUUGAAGGGAUCUGGUGGAAGGUGGUUCUUGUUCACAUGAGGAGCUCAAGUAGAUGACCUAUGCAUCUUUUCAGCUCUGAGAUUCUGUGAUUCUUUGAAUUUGCUAAUUAUUAUUUUUGCUAUGGGCAUUAGCUACAGUUAUACUUAUAUACUUGGCAUAAGAGAAUAUAAGCACUAAACUGCAGCAAAUAAAUCCAUUCAACAUAUAACUCCUUUAAGCAGAUUUUUGUGAAAACCAUGCCUAGAGGAAAUACAAAUGAGAGGGCAAAGGUAAUACAUUUCUUUGCUUUGUUUUUGUCAGGCUCAUUCUGAUAUUUUUAGACCAUGGCAAUUUAGCAGUAUUUAUUUUCACAGAUGGCUUUACCUACCAUGAGAAACAUUUGAAAAAAACUAUUUUUUUUUCGACAGGGAAGAUCAUAGGACAUGAAAAUAUGAAAAUUCUCUAGGCCAAUUUUGCUUUCUAAAAAAGGUUUUGAAUAUUGGACUAUUGCUUUAGGCUUAUAAAUUUUCUCUGUAGAUUUUCUUGACUUUGGCAAGGUUUUAAAAAGAAUUUAAAACAAAUAUACAAUCUAUAAAAGGACUAUUACAUUUCAUUAGUCUUUUUCCAAAAAGAGGGAAUUAUCACAUUAAUGGUUAUUUAUUACUCCCUAGUGUAAAGAAAGGUUGCAUACUAGAUACAGCGUUGUUUUAUUCAGCAUUUUUUAUAUCUAUUCAUGAUGUAAGGCAUGUGAAUUUACCUGUAUCAAUUUUAUUGCUUUCCUAAAACAUAAAGGAAAAAAAUAAGUGAAUCUGAUAUUUUUGGGGAUUAUUAUUAUUUUAAUUUUUUCAGAUUACAUGUUGAUAAAAUUUUUAAUACUCAUUUUUUUCUGACACUUUGCAAUCCAUGUUCUCUCCCUCUCUCCCAUCUCUUUCUCCUUCCUCCACAAGAAGGCAAGUACUAUGAUAUAGGUUGUAUAUAUGUUAUCAUACAAUACAAAUUUUACACAUUCAUAUUGUGAAACAAGAUACAUAUUGCUCACAAUAGAGAAAAAUUCAUGGAGGAAAUAAAGUGACAAAUAAGUUGUUUCAAUCUGUAUUCAGACUAUUCCUUCUAUGUUGGAAGAUAUCUUUUUCAUCAUGAAGCCCAUGGAGUUGUCCUGGAUCCUUGCCUUGUUGAUCAUUAUACAUUAUUGUUGUUGCUGUGUAUGUUUCCCUGGUUCUGCUCACUUCACUUUGAGUCACACCCUAUAAAUCUUUCUAGGAUUUUGUGAUCAUCUUGUUUAUCAUUUCUUAUGGCACAAGACUAUUCCAUUACAAUCUUAGACCAUAAUUUGUUCAGUCAUUCCCCAAUUUAUGGGCAUUUUUUAGUUUCUAAUUCUUUUCUGCCACAAAAAGAGCUGUUAUAAAUAGUUUGGUACAAGUAGGUCCUUUUUCUCUAUCUUUAAUCUCUUUGGGAUACAGGACUUGUAGUCAUAUUGCUGGGUCAAAGCACUAUUACUAUUUUUAAAACCUUUACCUUCCAUCUUAGAAUCUACACUAUGUUUUGGCUCUAAGGCAGUAUAGUGAUAAGGGCUAAGCAAUGGGAGUGAAGAGUGACUUGCCCAGAGUCACACAGCUAGGAAGUGUCUGAGUCCAAAUUUGAACUCAGGACCUCCCAUCUCUAGACCUGACUCUCAAUUAAGUGAGCUACCUAGCUGCCCUCAAAGUAUUAAUUUUUUUUGGGCGGGGGGAAAGUCUUCUGAGAAACAUUUAUGAUUCAGUAAUUUUGGUUUAUUGUUUGUAAUCAUUUUUACAUGAAUACAUUGGAUUUCCUUGUCCUUGAAAAAAGGAGAAUUAUAAAAUCAGAAGAUUUUCAGGAGAAGGCUAAAAGAAAUAUGAAACCUAAAGUGAGAUAUGGACAAAGAAAGGAAUAGUUAUAUUAAGCAUAAAGUCAGGUUAGUGCUGGAUGACCUUCUAUAUUCAGAAGGGGAUCUGUAUAAAUUCCUUGUGGGUUCUCUCUCUCCCCCUUUGUCUCCCUCUCUGUCUCUGCCCCCACCCCCAUCUCUCUCUGUCUCCUAUCUCUUUCUCUCUCUUUUCUCUUCUCUUCUCUCUCUCUCACUCUCUCUCUCUCUCUCUCUCUCUCUCUCUCUCUCUCUCUCUCUCUCUCUCUCUCUCUCUCCCUCUCUGUCUCUGCCCCCACCCCCAUCUCUCUCUCUCUCUCUCUUUCUCUCUUCUCUUCUCUCUCUCUCUCUCUCUCUCUCUCUCUCUCUCUCUCUCUCUCUCUCUCUUCUCUUCUCUUCUCUUCUCUUCUCUCUCUCUCUCUCUCUCUCUUUCUCUCUCUCAUACACACACACACACACUAUUUCUCUCUCUCUCUCUGAAAAUGCUUGGCACCUAGGAGAAACUUUAUCAGUUUUGUCAAAUGAAUGAAAAGAUGUCGCUAAAGUACCUACUAGGUGUCUGGCAUUGAAGAUUAAAGAUACAAAGGCAAAGUUAGACAAUCUCUGCUCUCAGAGAGCUUCCAUGCUAAUGGAGAUCCCUCAUUUCAGCAUAAAAUUAAAAUUAAUAUCCAAUAACUCCAACUAUUAUAUUUUAUAAGAUUUAUUAAUAAUAACUUGAAGUAGAGGAAAUAAAAAGACAAAAGUAAAAGCCUGAGUAAAGAGAAGUUUUCCUGACCUCCUUAGCAGGAGAAGAGCAGAGAGAAGGAGGGGUUACAGAAACUUUAUCUCCAAAACAUAAGGAUUUAAUGUGAGGACAAAAGUGGGAUUCUGGGAAAUGGAGUCCUGGGGUACAAAAUUUUAAUUACACACCAGGGGGGGAGUUUUUGCCCAAGGAAUCAGAGAACUGCAUUGAGUUUGGAUGUUUUGACAAAGGGGAGAGUAUUAUCAAAGCUAUCAUUUUGAUUUUCUACAUUUAAAAUAGGAGAUGGAAGGGAGAAGUUGGGUGGCUCAGUGGAUGGAGAGCCAGGCCUAGAGGCGGGAGGUCCUGGGUUCAAAUGUGACCUCAGAUACUUCUUAUCAAACUGGUCCCCUUUUGUUACCUCUUUAAUUAAAGCUUUCAUUACCUUUUGCUUUUAUGUUAAAAGCUUUCUAUUUGGUCUCUCUUCCUCAAGUCUCCUACCACUCUCCUCCAAAUUUCAUCCCAACUGCUAAAGUGAUUUUCCCACCUGCAAGAUCUGAUUAGAUCACUCCUCUACUCAAUAACCUUCAAUGGCUCUCUCUUGCCUCCAGGAGCAAAGUCAAACUCCUCUGUUGAUGACUUACAACCCACCUUUCCAGCUUCGUCAUACUUUACUCCUCUUCAUAGAGUUUAUGAUUCAUUCAAAUUGUCCUUAUUUUUCCUCAUAAUCAGCACUUCAUUUUUUAUUUCCACGUCUUUGCACUAGUUGUCCACCAUAUCUGGAAUGCAUGUCCUUCUCACUUCUCUUAUAAUCCCUUGUUUCCUUCAAGACUCAGCUCAAGAUACAUAUUUGGACAUCUCCAAACCAUGCAGUUCACACUUUGGCCUCUUCCUCCCCCCUACUGGAACUAGGAUAUCUGCUUCUGCCCAGACUCUGAUUGCUGAGCUUUCACUUUAUCUCAGGUUCAUCACAAAGCAUCCCAACUAGCUUGUCCCCACUACUGUGCCCUCUUUCUCCUUACCCAUGUACUUCUGUCCACUCCUUGAGGGCAAAAACUACCCACCUUGCUCAAAUUUGUAUGCCCAGCAUUACUGAGCCCAUUACAAGCACUUUGUAAAUGCUCAGUCACUCAUUCAUUCAUUCAUUUAUUCAUUUAUUCCUUCAUGCUCUACCGUCCAAAUGAGAUCUUUUCCUUAUCCCCUUAGUUGCUAGUGCCCAACCAUCCCCAAAUCACUUUGUAUCUAUUUUCCAUCUACCUAGUAUAUGAGCUCACAUGAUAUAAUAUAAGCUAUUUGAAGGCAGAGACUGUAUCAUCUUUGUCUUUCCAUUAUUUUCUAUAUCCUCCCUCUUCUUGGUGUUUUUGAGGCAUUACUCUUCCCAUUUUUUCAAAUCUGUCUGUUCCUUCUCAGUUUAUUUUGUUGGUUUUUCAGCCAUGUCAUGACCAUUAGCUAUGAGUAUACACCAAGUUUCUGUCCAGGGCCUUCUUCUCUAUUCAUUCUAUACUAUCUUCCUUGGUACAAAUCCUAACUGCCAUUUUCUGGUUAUGUGAUCCUAGGGAAGCAAUUUCCCUUCUGUGAUCUUAUUUUCUUAUCCGCAAAAUGAAAGUGUGGAGAACUGAGGCCAUUUUCAGAGACACUUGCUAUAAAGAUGAUCCAGCAAUACCACCACUAGUUUGCUAUCUCAGAAAUGUCAAAGAUAGGGGAAAAGACCUGCUUGUACAAAAAUAUUGAUAGCAGCUCUUUUUGUGAUGGCAAAGAACUGGAAGUGAAGGGAUGUCAUCAACAACAAGUUGUGUUUUGUGAUUGUAGUGGAAUACUAUUGUGCCAUAAGAAAUGACAAACAGGAUGAUCACAAAAAAAACCUGCAAGGAUUUACAUGAAGUGAUGCAAAAUGAAGUGAGAAUAACCAGGUGAAUGUUGUACAUAGUAACAGCAAUAAUGUUUAAUGAUCAACUGUGAAUGACUUAGCUAUCAUCAGCGAUACAAGACAACUCCAAGGGACUCAUGAUGAAAAAGGCUAUCCACCGCCAUAGAAGGAACUGACCGAGUCAGUAUCCAGAUUGAAGCUUACCAUUUUCACUUUUAUUUCUUUCAUGAAAUUUUUUCUUGAAUAAGUGAGGUCUUCUUUUACAACACAUUGAACAUGGAAAUAUGUAUUGCAUGAUUGCAUAUAUAUGGUGUGUAUCAUGUUUCCUGCUUUCUUUGGAAGGGGAAAGGGAAGAGAGAGAACAUGGGUCAAUAAAUGUCAGUAAAGUAAAAAAUGUCAGUAAAGAUGAUUAAAAAUUGUAUCUACAUGUAUUUGGGCAAAUAUAAUAAAAAUAAAUAAAUAAAGAGUUGAACUGAACCUUCCCUCUAGUCUAUUCUUGCACCAAAAAAAGGAAAAAGAAAACAAAGUCUUAGAUGUGUCUUCAGUUAAGAUGCUACAAGAUCAGAUUGCAUUUCUUCUUUUAUGAGGAUGUCUUAAUAAUUUUAUUUUCCCUCAUUAAAAAUGUAUAGUCAAUGCAAAAUAAAUUUCUGCAUUAGGCAUAUUUUUAUGAAGUAAGAGAAAGAAAAAAUUAGAAGAAACUAUAUUUCAGUCUGCAUUGAGACCAUCAACUCUAUCUGGAGGUGAAUAAUAUGUUUCGUCUUGAGUCUUUUGUAAUUGUGGUCAUUGUAUUGAUCAGUUACUAAGUCUUUCGAAGUUAUUUUUGCAAUAUUAUUGUUACUAAAUAAAUUGUUCUUCUGAUUC